GACGAACGCUGGCGGCGUGCUUAACACAUGCAAGUCGAACGAGUGGCGAACGGGUGAGUAACACGUGGGUGAUCUGCCUUGCACUUCGGGAUAAGCUUGGGAAACUGGGUCUAAUACCGGAUAGUGCAAGAUGGGCUCGCGUCUGAUUAGCUAGUUGGUGAGAUAACAGCCACCAAGGCGCGAUCAGUAGCCGGUCUGAGAGGAUGAACGGCCACAUUGGAACUGAGACACGGUCCAGACUCCUACGGGAGGCAGCAGUGGGGAAUAUUGGACAAUGGGCGAAAGCCUGAUCCAGCCAUGCCGCGUGUGUGAAGAAGGUCUUCGGAUUGUAAAGCACUUUAAGUUGGGAGGCGUUACCAACAGAAUAAGCACCGGCUAACUUCGUGCCAGCAGCCGCGGUAAUAC
rnacentral:rRNA from 1 species